UUUUUUUUUUUUUUUUAAGAUAGGGUCUCUGUUACUCAGGCUGGAGUGUGGUGGCACUUCCAACCUAGGUCUCUUGUGCUCAGAUGGUCCUCUUUUUUGGGACAGAGUCUUGCCCUGUGAGCCAGGCUGGAGUGCAGUGGCUCAAUCUCAGCUCACUGCAGCCCUCGCCUCCCAGUUUCAAGGGAUUCUCCUGCCUCAGAUUUCUGAGUAGCUAGGAAUAGAGGCGACUGACACCACGCCUGGUUAAUAUUUGCAUUUUUCUUUCUUAUUUAUUUACUUUUGAUACGAAGUCUUGCUGUCACCCAUCCUGGAGUGCAGUGGCAGGAUCUCGGCUGACUGCAACCUUUGCCUCUUGGGUUCAAGCAGUUCUUCUGCCUCAGCCUCCCAAGCAGCCAGAAUUACAAGUGCCCACCAACGCAACUGGCUACUUUUGUUUUAGUGGAGGAUGGGUUUCACCGUGUAGGCUAGGCUGGUCUCUAACCCCUGAGCUCUCAGCUGGGCCUCCCGCCUUAGCCUCCCCAAGUACUGAAAAUGCAGGUGUGAGCCACUUCGGCGAGCCGUCAACACCUUUUACGUGAUGGAAAUUAUUCUGGCACUCACCUCACCUGGGGUCAGGUAGAGUUGAAGGGGACACUAGCGGCCCUUGAUGAUGUGAUGUGCACUGUUUACCAAGAGCACAGAGGUGGAAUGCAUGGGAUUUGAAUUUUCAAUGGGUAAAUAAAACUGAAAUUAUGGGUGCAUGAUCAGGUCACAUAUGCAACGAGAUGUGCGUGUGUGACAAUGUGUAUUCUUCAACAUCUUAGAUUCCAUUUCGGAUGCUCCUGUCUGGACUGUGUGUCCCUGUACUGGAACUCGAGUGAACACUUGGCUGAAAAUCCAUUGCUGUUCUCUAGAAAUCCAGCCUAAUUCUCUUGGCUAAAGAUAAGGCCGGGUGCUGUUGCCCAGGCUGGAGUGGAGUGGCACUUCCAACCUAGAUCUCUUGGGCUCAGAUGAUCCUCUUUUUUGGGACAGUCUCACUCUGUAACCCAGACUGGAGCGCAGUGGCAGAAACUCCUCAGUGUACCCUCUGCCUUCCGAGUUCAAGCCAUUCUCCUCAUGCAGCCUGCCAAGGAGCUGGGAUUAGAAGCAUGAGCCACCAUGCCCGGGACUGUGUGUCCCUGUGCUGGAACUCAAGUGAACAUGUGGCUCAACAUCCAUUGCCGACCUCUAGAAAUCCAGCCCAAUUCUCUUGGUUCAAGGUUUCAUUCUGGUUGCUCCCAUCUGGACUGUGUGUUCCUUGUGCUGGAACUCAACUGAACGCUUGGCUCAACUUCCAUUGCUGUUCUCCAGAAAUUCCGCCCAACUCUCUUGGUUACAGAUGGAAUUUCACUCUUGUUGCUUAGAUUGGUGUGCAAUGACGCGGUCUCAGUUAACUGCAGCCUUUGCAUCCCGUGCUCAAGUGAUUCUCCUGCCUCACCCUCUGAGUAGCUGGAAUACAGGCAGCAGACAGAUGGUUUCACCAUGUUGGCCAGGCUGGUCUCAAUUCCUGACCUUAAGUGAUCCUCCUCCCUGGCCUCCCAAAGCGGUGGGAUUACAGGUGUGAGCCACCAUGCCUGGCCUCUUCAACAUCUGAGAUUCCAUUUUGGAUGCUCCCGUUGCAGUGUGUCCCUGUGCUGGAACUCAAGUGAACACUCGGCUCAACAUCCACUGCUGUUCUCUAGAAAACCAGCCCAAUUCUCUUGGUUAAAUGUAAGGUACGUCUAGUGGGUGUUGCUUUUUCUCUUUGCGGACAAAAGUCAAGAUGAUUGCCCCGUGAUGAGCAAGGCUAACGUGCUGAGCCUUUAAAACAAGGAACUGUAGGUGGUCCUUUUAAGGGUUUAUGUUCUGGAUUCUAGAAAACAUGCCAACGGGGCUAAUAAAUAAAUGCAUCUUUAUUUUUGUGUGCAUUUUAACCUGGUCAAAAAAAAUUUCAUAAAGCCAGCGUGCUAGGCAAGACGAUCUCAUGCUGUGACCCUCCAAAGGGAAGCGCCUUUCUGUUGUCUGAAAGAACACAAGGCACUUCCCUUUAGAGCGUGAAAGACUGAGAAAAGCAGCGUUGACGUCGGUGCUGACCUUGGUAAUACCUUAGCGGGGCAUGCUCAUCGUCCGGUUUCCAUGAUGGUGGAGUUCUGUUUCUUUUUUUUUUUUUUCUAAGACCAGGUCUCUGUUACCCAGGCUGGAGUGUGGUGGCACUUCCAACCUAGGUGUCUUGGGCUCAUAUGGUCCUCUUUUUUUUGGGACAGAGUCUUGCUCUGUGGUCCAGGCUGGAGUGCAGGGGCAUGAUCUUGGCUCACUGCAAACCUUCACCUCCCAGUUUCAAGGGAUUCCCGUUCCUCAGAUUCCUGAGUAGCUGGGAUUAUAGGUGCCUGAUUCCAUGCCUGUAUAAUGUUUCCACUGUUUUUUAUUUUGACUUAUUUUUGAGACAGAGGCUCCCAGUCGCUCAGGCUGGAGGGCAGUGGCAGGGUCUCAGUCUCCCCUGGAAGAUACUUAUGUGUGUGACAAUGUAUAUUCUUCAACAUGGUAGACUCCAUUCUGGCUGCUCCCAUCCGGACUCUGUGUCCCUGUACUGGAACUCAAGUGAACACUUGGCUCAAAAUCCAGUGCUGUUCUAUAGAAACCCAGCCUGAUUCUCCUGGUUAGAUACGAGGUCUGUGUGGUAGGCAUUGCUUUUUCUUUCCGGAGGCAAAACUCAGGUGGAUUGCCCCGUGAUGAACAAGGCUAACCUGCUGAGCCUUUGAAGGAAGGAACUAGAGAUGCUCCUUCUAGAGGUUUUUGUUCUGAAUUCCAGGAAACAUGCAAACAGGGCCAAUCAAUGCAUCUUUAUUUCUGUGUCCAUUUUAACCUGCUCAAGGAAAAUUCCGACAAAAAACCCGAAGUGCUGGACCAGGAAGA